rnacentral:rRNA from 1 species
UCUGACCUCAAAUCAGGUAGGAUUACCCGCUGAACUUAAGCAUAUCAAUAAGCGGAGGAAAA